GGCGAACGCUGGCGGCGUGCUUAACACAUGCAAGUCGAACGGAAAGGCCCUGCUUUUGUGGGGUGCUCGAGUGGCGAACGGGUGAGUAACACGUGAGUAACCUGCCCUUGACUUUGGGAUAACUUCAGGAAACUGGGGCUAAUACCGGAUAGGAGCUCCUGCUGCAUGGUGGGGGUUGGAAAGUUUCGGCGGUUGGGGAUGGACUCGCGGCUUAUCAGCUUGUUGGUGGGGUAGUGGCUUACCAAGGCUUUGACGGGUAGCCGGCCUGAGAGGGUGACCGGCCACAUUGGGACUGAGAUACGGCCCAGACUCCUACGGGAGGCAGCAGUGGGGAAUAUUGCACAAUGGGCGGAAGCCUGAUGCAGCAACGCCGCGUGCGGGAUGACGGCCUUCGGGUUGUAAACCGCUUUCGCCUGUGGCGAAGCGUGAGUGACGGUAAUGGGUAAAGAAGCACCGGCUAACUACGUG
rnacentral:rRNA from 1 species